CACAUCUUUCCUACAUAGCCUAAAACGAAAUCCUCUUUCCCAUUCACGCUUUCACAGAGACACAUGUUGCUCUUGCUUCUCCCCUUGCCCGAUCCCCUUUCUCACUCCAAAAUUUAUGCCGCCGGUAGCUCCCAUCAACUUGAUUCCUUGAUUCCCUGCCUUGAGCUUGCUCGUCCUCACCUGCAGCCACCCCCGCAGCUCGAUUCGCUGGUGCUGCCACAUGGUGACCUUCGACGGCGGCUGAUUUUUCUCCUCGUACGCCUCCUCGGCCUCCUCCUAGGCUGGUAAAUGGCAAUAGAGGGGUAGCAGUGCCCAAGGUGUAGCUGUUCAAGGGAGGAGGCGAGAUCAAUCUGCACUGUGUUGUUGCUGUCAAUAUCCGUGUAGGUGAUGUUGGCGUGGAUUUCGUCUCCCGCGCCUGAUUUGAUCCAUCUUUAGUAUGAGGAUGGUGUAGACGUUUUCUGCCCCUAGAGCGCCCGCCAGACACUUCCUCCACAUCGGCAACAUUCUUCGAAGUUUGAAGUGUGUUGCCCUACAGCAAGAAAUAAGGAGGUACAUGAACUGGGAAUGAUUGGACGUGGGGAGAGAAAAGAAAUGUUACCUUGUUAUUUGCCGGAAAGAGUGGUAAAGCUCCAGCCUCUAGGUCAAUAUCGUCCUUGAUGAAGAGGUCGAAUUCUGGCCACUUGCAGGGUCUGUAUGGUGUGUAUCUCAAGUCUCAACUCUCACCUGGUUGGUCUUCUGAUCUCUUUCUAGCUGGCUGACAGUGGGCAUGCAACAACUCUAUUCACCUGAAGUUGCUGGCGUGCAUGAAGGAUAGGCUUUGAGACCAUCAAUCGUAUGUAACCUGCUAAUCUGCUGACUUGAGGCGCAUGAUGUAUGAUAACAUGCUGAUCUGUUGAGUUGAGAUGCAUGAUGCAUGGCCACCGAGACAUAUAUUGUACAUUCAAAGAGGGAGAAUUCCGGCAGCUAGAAAUCUGGACCUGGAAAAGCUACGUCAGGUUACCUAUUUUGCACAACUCUAAACAAGCUGAAACUUCACGGAGAUUUUUUAUGGAAUAAUUAAGGAAUAAUGGAGCAAAUUACUACCAGAGAGGGCCCACCAGGUGGGCACAACCCACCUGGGCGCGCCAGGGAGCCCAAGCGUGCCCUGGUGGGUUGUGCUCACCCAGGCCCACCUCCGGUGCCCAUCUUCUGGUAUAUAGGGGACUUUCGGGACG